CCCUUAGAUGCUCUGGGCCGCACGCGCGCUACACUGGUCGAUGCAACGAGUUUCUUUCCUUGGCCGACAGGCCUGGGCAAUCUUUGAACAUCGAUCGUGAUCGGGAUAGAUUCUUGUAAUUUUUGAUCUUAAACGAGGAAUUCCUAGUAAACGCAAGUCAUCAGCUUGCAUUGAUUACGUCCCUGCCCUUUGUGCACACCGCCCGUCGCACCUACCGAUUGAAUGGUCCGGUGAAAUCUCCGGACUGGCGUGAGUCGGAGCAAUCUGACAAACGCCGGAAAGUUGAUUAAACCUUACCAUUUAGAGGAAGGUGAAGUCGUAACA
rnacentral:rRNA from 1 species